rnacentral:rRNA from 1 species
GCCUAAAUACAGUACUCUAAAGCCACUGGAUCCAAUCUAAUCUCCAAAGCUAAGCAGUGUCAGCAUGGGGCAGUAUGUAGAUGGGAAACCACCAAGGAAAACCAGAUGUUGUAGGCC